UAACCAUUCACAAAUCUUUUUUCCAAAUCAAUUUUCGUGGAACUGUAUAUAUUCCCACAGAUGGGCUUCUGCUUUUUUCCAAGAGAUGGUUUGCAGGGGAGGUGGUUUCAAACUAAUGACUCGCCCUAAGGAGAAAAUGCAGCUUCAUUCAUGUAACAAUUGAAACCAUUAGGAUAGUCAUAGAGUGCAUACAGACUGGGUAUAAAGAAGUACUUGCAUGUUAUUAGAAAAAUGAGUACUGCUGAUUUUUGGAGCUUGUGAAGGUUAAGAAAUGUGAAAGAAGUCUUGAGAAAAGGAUGGAGACUCAGAGUACUGUACCAAACAGAGGUCCAAGGAGCAGAGAUGAAAACCAAAACUCAGAAUGGUCUGAGUUAUGUGCCUUGACUUAAAAGAUGAGUUCUCAGUCGUGGCAAACCCAAAGAGAGAUGGAAAUCCAUGUUAUAGGUGUCAUUAGUAAUCAGCGUUGCUGUAAACAGUGCUAUUGAUUUUAAUAAAUUCAAAAUCUCAGCACAGCAGGAAAAUAUUUGUUAUGAUAAAGUAUACAUAAUAUAUAUUAUAAUAUAUAAAGUGUAUAUAUAUAUCUGCAUACUUUAUAUAUUUUUAUCUACAUACUCUAUAUGCUUUAUCAUAACAGAUAUAUUUAUAUAUAUAUACAAAUUUUAUGCCUAAAAUUAGCAUGUGACAUCUCUAGAUAGCAUCUUAAGUCUCUCACUUCUGGAAAGCAUCUCUACUCAAGAGAGAAUUCAGAUGUGUUAGAUUUAAACAUAAGGGAAAGGGCUUUCCUGAUUUUAGGCAUUAGCAAUGUGUUCUUCAAAAAUGUUUAGCCUCCUGGGGGACUGAAUGUAUCAGUUAAGAGGUCCUGGGAUUCCCAGUUUAGAUUAUUUCAGAAAAUUUUGGCCCAUUUUUCAUUUAUAGUUACACACGAAAAUACACGUUCCAUUACAUAUAUAGAAGAUAUGUGUUGCUUACAAGUAUAUAACUAGCAGCUCUGAGUCCAAACUUUUAGCAAUUAUAAGUCAAAAUGAAGUCAUGUCUUACAAGUGAACUCAUACAGUUUUCAUGUGUUUGGGGCAGUUUUUGAAUUAUUUGAAGUCUGAAAGAAGUUUUUUGUUUAAUUGAAUCAAUGGUGCUAUAAUACAUACAGGUUAUCUAAUCCAAUGCGAACAAAACUGCGGAGGUAAAAGCCUUAUUCAGAACUGCUCUUCACACAGGCAGAUAAUGUUUUAAUGCAUAUAAGCACAUAUAUUUACAUAUAUGGCAAAAGAACACUGAAAUCAGAAUUUUAACAUUAGCCAGUCUCUUUCAGGCAAGUGUUCAGUGCUACGCUUCUGAAUAAUUGUCUUCCCUUGAGACUGGUAUUUGCUUUAGUUAUCGCUUUAGUUAUUAACUUCUACAAUCCUGUUUUCAAAUGUGACAGCAGUGUUUGGAUCAAGUUCAACUCUGAAUUCAUUCCAGUAAUGCCAGCAUAGUUUGCAUGAUCUUUUCUAUAUUUGUGUGCAGCCGUGGGUUUUUGAUGUAUGCACAAACCAUGUCUAGCAAUAGAUGAAAUUGUGUCUAUCAGUAUUAGUGUCACGGCAUUGAGGGAAUGAUUUCUUAUGUCGCUCAUUUUCUCCAAGACCCUCUGUGAUAGCACGAUGAGAUAAGAAUACAUUGUCAACUGCAAGUCCAAAUUUUCUGCCCCUUUUCUUGUUCAAAAGCAGGCAAUUUUAAUUUGGCAAGCUCUGUACAAAUCCAAUCACCAUUUGGAACUCCAGGAGGAUUGUUCUACCUUGAUGAGUAACAAGAUACAUUGGAAUGUGCUUGGGAUUGUUCUUUCAGCCCUGGCAGAUCAUAAAGGGUGCUCUUCAGGCCUCCCUCAUUCUGCGCCUCAUAGAUACAUCAAGAGUCCUCUUACACUAAAGAGCAAAACUUGAAGCCAUCUCCAGAAUUCUAAUUUUUGUGCAUCAGCAUCUGGAAAUCUCGGCAUUUUUGGCAAAACACAGCUGGACUCCUGGAUGUGCUACAUCUUGAAAGAACUGGGAGGAAGACCUGGGUAUCUUCUACCUCUGGUGCUUUCAUCAGAGCUUGAGUGAAAAGGCUGGACUAUAUUUGACUUGUUCACUGUCAACUGCUGGCUUUACAAAAGUAAGUAAAAGCACAUAGAGCUGAUUUCUGGUCUUUCUGACUUUGCAGCUAGUUUGGUGGCCAAAACAGGACUGUUUGCAAAGUAAUAUACCUGUUAUCAGCCAUGAUGUUGCAAAUAAAGCGAGACUUUCCUAAUGCAUUUUUAAUGUGUUAGAAAACAGACUAAUCUGUUGUUGAUCUGGAGUUGCUAAGCUUAUUCCAGUAUUUAUAGACCACAGACAUUAAUGAUAAUGCUUAGCAGUUAAAUACUCUUUGUUAAGACAAACAACAUUUUGGAAAGAGAACAAAGAAUUUAAUCAAAACUGUGAUUGGCUUCCAGAUAGUCUUUUCUGUCCCACUGCUCUCAUUCUCUUGACUUCGCAAAAUGUUUGUUAAAUUUAUCUUUUUUCUUAACUGUUCUGAAAGUUGGCAGUGCUUGCAAUUCAGAGCUCAUUAAUGUAAGAGGCUGCUCUGCUUCUUAUACCUCUCCCGAGUUAAGAAUCUGGUAGAAGUUCCCAUUUCUGCUUGCAUUUGCCUUUCCAUAAAACUUACUCCCUCUGAUAUCCUGAAGCUUACCUGAAGUCUUCUCCUACUUCUCACUCCAUCUCCCCUCUUCAUAGCUCAGAGCUUACAGCCACUUUUUGUAAGUACAUCCAGUCUAUGUAUUUCUUAUCCUUUCUACGGUCAGUUAUCACUUCCCUUUCUCCUUUGCUGCCUUAAUGCUGCUGCAUUUAUGUUGUCUUUGCCAUAUCAGUUUGAAAGAGGCAAAUGAUGUUAUUUUUUUACUCCUUACAAUCCAUCACACGCUAUCUCUUCUGCCCAGAUUCAGGUAAGUCAACAAAUAAAUACUUUUUGUGAGAUUUCCAUCUUUUGUUCAGCUGUAAAUUAAAACAAAAGAAGUAAUACCCUCAACUUUAAGAUUAAGAAGGAGAACGUGUGAACAUGAAUGAAGACUAAGAACUCUUUUCUGGUGAGAAAAUGACUAAGUAUUUGAUAUAAUAAGCAUGUUGACACAGUAGUACUGUACAAACAUGUUUUCAUCAACUCAGCAUAAGUAUUCUUACCUAGUUUAGAUUAUGUUGCUUGAGUGCAGCAUAGGUAGAUCAGAGGUGAUGCAGCAGUGUUUCCAUAAAUCACUUCCAAGCAGUGCUAGCUAUUCUGUUAACAAUGUGUUCAAGGAAAAAAAGACAAGCAUGGUAUGAAGUUUUGCAUCACUGACUGUAAGUGAUCUCUCCAUGUGGUCACUAGUGACUUUCACAACCCACACCACAGCUGUGUGUUACAUCUAACUCCUGGUAUACUAAGCACAGGCAGAAUUUAUGAGUGCACAACUACACUUUAAAUAACAGCUGCAUUAUCAGCUGUUGACUCUAAUUUAGAAUUUCAGAGAGUCUAAGACUAACCUAUUGCUCAUAGUGCUAUAAUUAGAAAGGAAACAUACCAUAAAUAUUCUGAGGCUAGCACAGGACUGUUCAACCCAAUUCAAGCCCCUUAUCACAACUUUGUGUUAUUAUCAAAUUAGAUCAUUCAGUUUCACCUUACAUGCUUUUGCUAUUAUGUCCAGACUGGCAAACACAAUUAUUUACUGUCUAGUCACAUGAGAUGAAUGAGUGCAUGAGAUAAGUUUUAUGCUUUCCUAUAGAACUACUGCAAAAAUUCCUUGGAUACCUGCUACAGGACUAGCUGAUCUCUCUCCCAGCUGCUUCAUACUUCAAAUAUUGUUCAUCAUAAUAUAACUGAAGGAACUGAGAUUAAAAUUCCUUUAAAGAGAAUUUAUUAAAUCCCCAGAAGGUCUAUGAACAGGAGAAAAACUUCCAAAGCUGAGAUUAAAGCUGGCACUUUAAUAAAGAUUGAGGUGCCUGAAUAAAUUGGUGGUCCCACAGGUGCUGAGCCACUAACAUUAGCUUCUGCAAGGGAAGAAACUAAGCAGCACAUUGGAAAACUAAGCUAUUUAUGUAGGUACUUGAACAUACCAAAACCCAAGCCUGUGUACCAUACAUCUUGUCCCUUUUAUGGACCUAAGUUUGUCUAGCCUGCUUUCACUUGCUUACUUUACAGCUAUUCAAGAAAGCUCUGUAAGACCAGGGACAGACGUUAGCACAUAACUGUACCCAUUAUAAAUAGUCUCCCUUCCCCCCAAGCUGCAUGCUAUUUGCUUAUACUAGAGAUUACUGUUCCCAUGAGGAAUCAUGUCAGCAUUUGCUAAUCUGCUUCAGUCAACCACAAUUGGGUUAAUUUAAACAGAUGAUGAAAGUGGUUUGCACUAGCAGGGUGAAGUUUGCCUGAAGCAUUUUAGCGAAACCACCCAAGGUCUCUUCCAGGAAUAGAAUGGUAAAGGCAGCUUCCAACUUCUGGCAGUGCAAACAGUUGGACGUAGUAAUGGUGGUAAAGGCACUUCGGAGUCUGGAGGAGGACAUCUGCUCAUGGCCUAACAUGAAGUUAUCUGAGACAUUGAGAAAACAAAAGCAAGUUGCAAGAGAAGCACUGGAUAUGGACUGAUCCAAAUAAAGGAUUCAUCUCUGAUUCCACUGUUUACCAUGGAUGGAAGUUUCAACUGGAAUUCAUUGGUUACAUCAACGUGUCAUUUAGCAUCAUGAGGAGAACCUUCUCCGAUGAAAACGUCUUUAAUGCUCCUAAAAUUACAGAGGUACCUGGGUUUGCAGCUGUAUAAACUACAUACCUCUUCUGCUUUAUGAUUUCAGAAGACAAAAGAAAAUGAGAAUGAGCAAAUAAAAUGCCAUCCCUCUUCAGACAAAAAAAAAAAAAAAAAAAGUCUAUAUUAGAGUUCACAGAUACAUCUGUUAGCUUUCAGGCAUUAUUCACAGCAACAACGUCUGCCUCUUCUGCUUUCCUCACAGCAGGAAAGUGAAAAGCUGAAAAACAACUGUUCCCUUUACCUCUCCCCAACAUCUAAUAUUUUCUUCUCCUUAGUCAAGUAUAUAGCUCUGUCUUCGCAUCUGUAUUUUCUCAGUUGUUGUAAUCCAGCAUUCUCUGGGCUGCCUUUUGCUCUCUGUUCCAAGAUAUAUUAUUACCUCCUGUAUAUUAUGCUCUCUUCCUUGUUUUGUACCCCACUACGUUUCUGGCACAUUACAUGCCCCAUGUGCUGGAUGAGAACAUUACCUGAUCCCAUGGUCGUAAAUAACUCUGUUAAUAGAUGUAGAUUAAUGCCAGGUUUUGAAUAAGGCUACUUCUACAGCUGACUUUCAAGUGUAUGAGUACAAACCAGCCUCAUCUGAACCGGUUUUCACUGCCACGGUGCUUUAUCCUGCAAACUGUAAGCAGGAUCCCUUGGUCCCUAUCUCAAGACAUAACCCUAUGAAUUAACAAAAAGCAGUAAGAUCCCCUGUCAAUCCCCCCAGCCACUUACUCAGCUAGCCAACUGCAUGCUGCUUGAUAGGAUGUUUUUAACUGAUAUCUCCAGUCCCUAUUGUAUUAGACACCAAAAGUACUUAGUAGCUGUACGUGGUCUGAUGUAUUUUGCAAGGGAUACACUCACUGGUUAUUAACUGGAUAAAACCUGGCAUUAGAUUGGCUUUGUUUAAUUUCUAACGUUAUUUACUCUGCGAUAACUGACUAACCUCAGUUAACAUUGUGAUUUGUUUGCCCUGUAAUGACCAGAUAUUCCAUUACAUUAUGUAAAUUAUUUGCAUAGUGAUUGUGAUUUAAUGUUAUUGGUAAUUAGAAUUAUUUGCCUGCUGGUAAUGCUGUAUAAAUGAUCUGUCAUUAAUCACGGAGCACGCCUUACCAAGAGCUCUAAUGAGAAAAGCUGCAGUAUAUGUCACUAAGCUAUCCUUAUCCUAUGGGCCAUUGUUUCACAUCACAGGAAACUCGUUUCUGUAUUUAUUGAUCAUUUAUUGAUUGUUACCCUAAAGACAUGGGACUUUGUAAUUGUUUCUGUAUUCUUUGAUGUAGGAUAUCACCUGAGAUCUUUCAGACUGAGUCACAACAAUCAAAACAUAUAUCUGAUAAAAUUUCCUCAUCAGAUUUUGGCACCUGUAGUUUUGAAUCACACUGGUAGUUUCACCUUUCAAAGGAGGAAAAUCCAUAGUCCAAGCCCCUCACAUCAGUAUCCAUGGAGUCAAAGGCACAUCUUUGCCAAAGGGGAAGGGAGAGUAGAAAAAUUUGGACUUGGUGAUCCUUCUGGGUCCCUUCCAACUUGGGAUAUUCUAUGAUUCUAUGGAAGGUGCAAAAGGCAGGGGCCAGUGGGACCCCAGCCAGCAGAGCAUGGUAUUUAACUCAGGAAAGCUAAUUUCCAAGGGCCAGAUCCUCUUUCUCUGAGAAAAUGUAUCUUUCAUUCUUUCUGCUUCAUUGCCAACAUUUUUAGGGAAUUCUCUUUAUCCACUGUAUAUUCUCCUUAUAGCAAAGCACUAGUAAAUUCAGCAGUGAGAAGAAUGGCAAAGGUUCACUCAGCAUCCUUCCUACCCAUUUGGUGCUUGCCAUGGAUAUUUCAGUAAGUUACUGCUUAAGGAGAGAAUACCAUACCCUAGGAAAGCUGAGCGUCCGUUUAAAGCCGAGUCAUGAAGCCAGACCCCUGAGCUCUGCAGGGAUGAGCCUUUGGGUGACAGCAGGACCUGAUAAAGUAAUCCUGUGUGAGAAGAUAGAGAGAUAUUCUCAAAUGAGAGAGACAUCUGAAAUGAGAAUCGUGCCUUGUAAAGAACCCCUACUAUGACUUAACUGCAACACACAUAGCAUAAAUCCUUUUUCUGAGUGUCUGAAAGAGCUGGAACUGUAUAAAAAAAUUAAAAUAUUUGUCACAACGCUUUCUGUACUUUUUAAGGAAUAAAGAACUGUUUACCUAUAUAGAGAUGCAGGCAAAUUGUGUUGCCUGUUCAUCAUAGUAAAAAUCUGAAGAGUCUGAAGGAAAUAUCUGUGCUGAAAAUCUUGGUUUAGGUUUAUAAAGGAAAUAGCUGAAACCACCUGAACCAGAAAAUGUAUGCAAAGAAAUAUCAAUGUGAAUAAAGUUUCUCUUUUAAUAUUUUACCGGAGGUAAAACCCAGAAUUGUUAAUCCUAUUUUUAAUUUUGUACCCCAGUAAGAUUAUGAACAAUCUUGAUUUUCCCUUGGAAGGUUAAAAAAAGAGUAGUCUGCUGUAUGAGAAAAAAG
ensembl:lncRNA